rnacentral:rRNA from 1 species
CACGUAGGCGGACCAUCAAGUUGGGGGUGAAAUCCCGGGGCUCAACCCCGGAACUGCCUCCAAAACUGCUGGUCUGGAGUUCGAGAGAGGCGAGUGGAAUUCCGAGUGUAGAGGUGAAAUUCGUAGAUAUUCGGAGGAACACCAGUGGCGAAGGCAGAUCUCUGGGCCGCUACUGACGCUGAGGAGCGAAAGCAUGGGGAGCGAACA